GUGCUCGCUUUGGCAGCACAUACACUAGAACUGGAACGAUACUGAGAAGAUGAGUAUGGCCCCUGCACAAGGAUGACACGCAAAUUCAUGAAGCAUUCCAUGUUUUU
rnacentral:snRNA from 1 species